rnacentral:rRNA from 1 species
UUUUUUUUUAGGGUGACUUGGAAGAUAU